GCCCGCAGAAGCCCUGCAAUUUCCACAUGGGCGGGUGAUUUCAGAACGAUGGACAGAGCUGUUCGGCCAGCCUACAGGGAAGAAAGAAAAGGAGAAACAAUUUUUUCGUGUCUGCCUCCUGCCCCAGUGAAGGAUGAGGAUACUGAAGGUCGGUGAAGCUUCAUAAACUGCCCGAGUGAAGAUGAAAUGAGACCAGAGCUCUGGUAAUCAACUGUGGCUUCUCAAAGAGUAUCUUCACAGAGGACUGCAAAAAGGACAAACCAAAUGCCUCAAGACCAUUUGGGAGCCUGCUGACAUGGUCAAGAGACAGAAGGCGAGCAGGGGAGGUGUGGAGAGAGACGAGAGACACAGAAUCCAAAGCAGGCUCCAGGCUCUGAGCGGUCAGCACAGAGCCCAAGGCAGGGCUCGAACUCAGGAACCAGGAGAUCAUGACCUGAGCUGAAGUUGGAUGCUUAACCCACUGAACUACCCGGCACCCUGUGUAUCGUAACAUAAUAAAAAAGCAAGUUCUAUGGUGGUUAAGAGUCUGGGCUCCAAGUCAAGAAGCCAUGGCUAGAAUCCCAGGUCCGCCACUCCCUGUGUAACCUUGAACGCAUGGCUUAACCUCUCUGUGCCUUAGCUGCCUCACUUGUAAAAAAAGGAAUAGUAAUAUACCCUACAUGUCAUGGAGGAUUAAAGAUGAUGAUAUAGGUCAACCACUUAGAACACAGACUGGUAUACAGUCUGUGUUCAACUUAUAGUAAAUAUGUUAGCUAUUAACAUAAUAGUAUAAAUUCAAGUGUGAAUUCAAUUUUAUAUUUAAAAUUCUAUCACCUAACCGUUUAAAAAAUACAGUCAUACUUGUUUUAUAAUGAUUACUGUAAAUGGCUGUGCAAGAUUCCCUUGACUUAGGCCUUAUUUUCCAAACUCACUCCCUCCUGGAGGUCAUUUCAUGUCAUCUUUAGCUCUCUCGUCGGUGCUUCCAGAUCAGGCAGCCUGACAGGCAGGCCUCAGGGCAGGUCUCCAGGAAGACCCCAAUUCCAGGUGGCUGGAACCCAGUUGACACAUAUGAUGAUGAAUGGUUAAGAGCACAGGCUUUGAGGUAAGACAGACCAGGUUUAAAUCCUGGCUAUGUGACCUUGAGCAAAUUUUCCUAUUCAGCUCAGUCCAUGGUUGUGAGGACCGUGUGAGAUACGUAUGUAAAGUGCUUGUACCAAUGCUCUGUAUAUAAUAAACAAUCAAUAAAUGUUAGCUAGGAUUACUUUGUAAACCCACAAUGUUUUAAGUGAGGGAAGGGCACAGAUUGUGUUUGAUUUAUUAAUCACCCUAUUCCUAACAGUGGAUAUGAUAGGAACUCAAGUAACACGCGAAUAAAUGGAUGGAUCAUAGAAACUGUCAGAGCUGGAAAGGAUUUUUCUUAAACAGCUUUAUUUGUUAUGUAAUCUACAUACCGUAUAAUUUACUCAUAUACAUUGGGCAAUUCAACAAUUGUAGUAUACUCAGAAUUAUGCAAACAUUGCCACAACCUGAUUUUUAAAAUUGUGCUAAAAUACACUUUGUAUGCUAAUAUACAUAAGGUAAAAUUUACCAUUUUAACCAUUUGCAAAUGUAGAAUUCAAUGGCGUCAAAUACAUUCACAAUGUUCUGUCACCAUCACCACUAUGCCCCCAAUUUUUUAUCUCCAUCAUAAACUCUGUAACCCACUAAACAAUAACUCCCCACUCCCUCUUGCCCUGGUAACAUCUACUUUCUGUCUCUAUGAAUUUGCCUAUUCUAGGUACCUCAUAUAUAUGGGAUCAUACAAUAUUUGUCCUUCUGUGUCUGGUUUCUUUCACUUAGCAUGUUUCCAGGGUCCAUCCAAGGUUUAGCAUAUAUCAAAAUUUCAUUUCUUUUUAUGGUUGAAUAUUAUUCCAUUGUAUAUAGGUAGCAUAUUUUGUGUAUCCGUUCUUCCAUCAACUGACACUUGGGUUGCUUCCAUCUUUUGGCUGUUGUGAAUAAUGCUUCUAUGAACACUGGUAUACAAAUGUAUGUUUAAGUCCCUGCUUUCCUGUAAGAAUGAAACUGCUGGGUCAUAUGGUAAUUCUAUUUUUAAUAUUUUGAAGAACCACCAAACUGUUUUCUAAGGAAGCUGCACCAUUUUACAUUCCUACCAACAAUGCAUAAAGGUUCCAAUUUCUCCAUAUCUUCACCAACAUUUGUGGGGUUUUUUUUUGUUUUCCAUUAAAAAAAAAAGUUAUUACAGCCAUCCUAGUAAGUGUAGUAGGUGUGACGUGUUAUUUCCUUGUGGUUUUGGUUUUCAUUUCCCUACUGACGAUGAUUGUUGAGCAUCUUUUUUAUGUGCUUCUUGGCCAUUAGUAUACCUUCUUUACAGAAAUGUCUAUUCAAGUCCUUUGCCCAUUUUGAAUUGGCAAAAUUGUUUUUUGUCGUUGUUGAGUGGUAAAAGUUCUUUCUGGAUAUUAACAACUUAUCAACUAUGUGAUUUGCAUGUAUUUUCUCCCAUUCUGUAGGGUGUCUUUUUGCUUUCUUGAUAUUGUCCUUUGAUGUACAAAGGUUAUUGAUUUUGAGGAAGUCGGAUUUGUCUAUAUUUUCUGUGCUUUGGUAUCAUACCCAUGAAAUUGUUGCCAAAUUCACUGUCAUGAAGAUUUUCCUCAAUGUUUUCUUCUACAAGUUUUAGUUUUAGCUUUUAAGUUUAGGACUUUGAUCUACUUCGAGGUCAUUUUUCUUUGUGGUUUAAGAUUAAGGUCUGGCUUUAUUCUUUUACUUAUGAACAUUCAGUUUUCCUAGCACCAGUUGUUGAAAAGACCACAAUCUCAUUUUAGAACAUUUUCAUCACCCCAAAAAGAAAAGAAACCCCAUACGUGGGAUUUCAUUUUUAUAAGGAGCUAGAAACAUAAGUGAGUUAUUGAGAGUUAAUAAGCCUUGGCAUUCAUAAACAAAAAUUAGUUCACUACAAGACUUUCCCGAGAACAUUAAUUCUCUGUUCCACAAAGAAGUGUGACCUCCAGCCAUCACAGAAUAGCACUGCCAAACUCCCAUGUAUGCACACAGGCCAACAGCUGAAAUUCCCGCAAUUCUCAGGAGGGUGCUUUGUUGUUAAUACAGAAGAUAUUUGUUGCUUUUUUGGGCUAGCCAGCACUUUGUGAACACCCUUCCUAUGCUUGGGUUAUUUCCUUCCUUAAGAGUCGCACCUCCCCAAGGCUGCAACCAGAAUUUGCAGUGCCAGACUCCUUUAUAGUUAGGACUCAGUCAUGGGACCUGCGCUCAGCAGGUAGAGAGGCAUGGAGGCCAGACCUCAGGUUGGAAGAAAGUGCCCUGGAAAAGGAAGGGCUGCAGGCAAGUGAUUCUGGAGAGUGUGGUGGAGUGACUCAACAUCUUUUAAUACAUUCCUCUUCUACAUAAGCUCUCCAUAAGCCUGGUUCUGUUGUUUGUUUGCAACUAUGACCCUUGACUGCUACAAUGCAGCGUCAGCAUUGGUUUGGGUUUUAAUUGCUUUCUUUUCUGUUAAUUUAUAUUGCUUGUAGAUUGCUUUCUGGAGUUUCUUUUUUGUUUGUUUGGGGUUUUUUUUCAAAUGUUUAUUUUGAGAG